GCUUAACACAUGCAAGUCGAACGGCAGCACGAAGAAAGCUUGCUUUCUUUGGUGGCGAGUGGCGAACGGGUGAGUAAUGUAUCGGAACGUACCCAGUAGCGGGGGAUAACUACGCGAAAGCGUGGCUAAUACCGCAUACGCCCUACGGGGGAAAGGGGGGGAUCGCAAGACCUCUCACUAUUGGAGCGGCCGAUAUCGGAUUAGCUAGUUGGUAGGGUAAAGGCCUACCAAGGCGACGAUCCGUAGCUGGUUUGAGAGGACGACCAGCCACACUGGGACUGAGACACGGCCCAGACUCCUACGGGAGGCAGCAGUGGGGAAUUUUGGACAAUGGGGGCAACCCUGAUCCAGCCAUCCCGCGUGUGCGAUGAAGGCCUUCGGGUUGUAAAGCACUUUUGGCAGGGAAGAAAAGCCGCCGGAUAAUACCUGGUGGUGCUGACGGUACCUGCAGAAUAAGCACCGGCUAACUACGUGCCAGCAGCCGCGGUAAUAC
rnacentral:rRNA from 1 species